UACGUAGGUGGCAAGCGUUGUCCGGAUUUAUUGGGUUUAAAGGGUGCGUAGGUGGCCCUGUAAGUCAGUGGUGAAAUAUCUCAGCUUAACUGAGAGGGUGCCAUUGAUACUGCAGAACUUGAGUACAAAUGAGGUAGGCGGAAUUGACGGUGUAGCGGUGAAAUGCAUAGAUAUCGUCAAGAACACCGAUAGCGAAGACAGCUUACCAAGCUGUAACUGACACUGAGGCACGAAAGUGUGGGGAUCAAACAGG
rnacentral:rRNA from 1 species